rnacentral:misc_RNA from 1 species
CAGGUGAGAGUCCUUGGUCAGGUCAG